rnacentral:lncRNA from 1 species
GAAAAAAUUCAUCUGAUGUACAGGGCUCCAUAGUUUGACAAGAUGAUAUGGUAUGACUGCUGUUGGAGGUUCUGCUACAACACCAGAAUGAUCUCUAGGCGUUUACAGAAUCACGUAGUUCCAUUUGUCUUCCUCUUUCCAAGAAGAUGAGGUAGGCAUAAAAUAAUCUCUCGCAGUCCGGGAAGGGCCAGGAGAGAGAGAAGAAAGGAGGAACAAAAAUAAAAAAUACAAUUAAAAAAAAAAAAUCACAAGGGAGGCCCCGGCACCCCCCGCCCUCCCGCUGCCGCUCCGUCCCGGCGGCAGCCAGCGCUGCCCCUGUGCCGGGGAAGGCGGCGGGCACCGGGAGGCCGCUCCCCGCUGCUAACGGGUCCCCAUGGGCCCCGCCGCCGGCCCCUCCCCGCGGGCGCGCUCCGGCGGCUGCGGCCGCGGGGCCGGCCGCACACGCGAGGGGAGGGGCGGGGC